AUGAACGCUGGCUACAGGCUUAACACAUGCAAGUCGCGGGGAAACGACGGGGAAGCUUGCUUCCCCGGGCGUCGACCGGCGCACGGGUGAGUAACGCGUAUCCAACCUGCCUCUGACUGAGGGAUAACCCGUCGAAAGUCGGCCUAAUACCUCAUGGCAUCGUCUGCGGGCAUCCAACGACGAUUAAAGAUUUCAUCGGUCAGAGAUGGGGAUGCGUCUGAUUAGCUUGUUGGCGGGGUAACGGCCCACCAAGGCGACGAUCAGUAGGGGUUCUGAGAGGAAGGUCCCCCACAUUGGAACUGAGACACGGUCCAAACUCCUACGGGAGGCAGCAGUGAGGAAUAUUGGUCAAUGGGCGAGAGCCUGAACCAGCCAAGUAGCGUGCAGGAUGACGGCCCUAUGGGUUGUAAACUGCUUUUAUGCGGGGAUAAAGUGAGGGACGUGUCCUUCAUUGCAGGUACCGCAUGAAUAAGGACCGGCUAAUUCCGUG
rnacentral:rRNA from 1 species